rnacentral:rRNA from 1 species
GAUGAACGCUAGCGGCAGGCCUAAUACAUGCAAGUCGAACGGCCCCGACACGUUCGGUGUCGGGGUAGUGGCGCACGGGUGCGUAACGCGUACACAACAUACCCUUUACGAGGGGGAUAGCGGCGGGAAACUGCCAGUAAUACCCCAUGUCCUUGCGAGGUGGCAUCUAUUUUGCAAAGAAAGUUCAAGCGGUAAAGGAUUGGUGUGCGUCCGAUUAGCUAGUUGGCGGGGUAACGGCCCACCAAGGCGACGAUCGGUAGGGGGUGUGAGAGCAUGGCCCCCCACACGGGUACUGAGACACGGUCCAGACUCCUACGGGAGGCAGCAGUGGGGAAUAUUGGACAAUGGGCGCAAGCCUGAUCCAGCCACGCCGCGUGGGUGAUGAAGGCCUUCGGGUUGUAAAGCCCUGUCGGGAGGGACGAAGUCUUCGGAUUGACGGUACCUUCCAAGAAAGCACCGGCUAACUCCGUG